CUUGGGCAUGCAUCCAGAACCGGGACACCCUGCCAGGGGUAAGAUUUCCACUUCCCAUUAUUCUUCCACCGUGUCCCUCUUCUGUUAGAGUCUUGGAGGCCUAAACCCAUAAUGGGUUGAAAUUCUCCUCUGAUUCCUAAAAGGCUAAGAACAACCUGGAAUAUUUUGUAGAUAACAUGGAAGAAAGACCUUGACUAUUUUGUAGAUAAUAUGGAAGCUUAGUUUUUGUUUUGUUUUGUUUUUUAAUUAUCUGGCAAUGGUGGACAAGACUGAUUAAAGUGAGAAGAAGAAACUGGAGGCAGACAGAAGAAUGUGGAGGAGCCUGUGGCUGUAACCGGAGCAGGGAGCAGGAACAGCACGAACGAAGUCAGCCUGUGGAAGCAGAAAGUGAGGGGAAUUCUGCACAGAGACAACCGUCAAGUCUGUGCCUGCUGGACAUUGGGAGCCACAGAGAGGCAGGAGCAGGCGACAGCGUGGAGCUGCGAGCCUGGCCAGCAGAAAGCGAAUUGAAAAAUGUUCCUAAAGGAAGCUGGUGGAGGUUGUGUGUCAUCAAGCAAGAAAACAUACCAGGAAUGAGGAAGAUGUAGGACACAGGAACAGGAUAUCCAUCAAAAACGAGAACUCCAGGGUUGAUGGAGAAGAACCCUAGGUUGAUGACAGCCCUAUAGCUGGCCUAAGGAAACACCAGUCCAUACUGGAAGAGAAAAGUUCUGGAAAAGAUAUGGAAAAGAAAUCUAUGGUAAAGGGAGAACUGAGUAGAAUACCUGAUAGAUUUAAACAGAAAUCUCUAGGAAGAUAAUCACCAAGAAAAACAGGAGUCACAUAGAUUACCUGAUGUAUUGGAACGUUUUGAGAAAUGUAUACUCAGGCUAAGAAGUUGAGGAUGAGUAAAUGACAGGUACAUUACACAAUAGGAAAUGAAAAUUAAGGCAACUAGAAACUCCCAGGGAAACAAAAUAGUGAUCAUGAAAGAAAAAAAAAACAAAGUACACUAUUGCACUUGGUUGUUUAUAUAAUCAUGAUAUUGUAAAAACCGAACUUUGAUUUAACCAAAAAUUAAACUGUAGAGAUAACUAUAUUGGGAGAGUGUGGAGAGGAAGUCUAAAUAAAAGGAGUCAAAAUUUAUAUUUAAUGGUGAGAAGUUAAUUGAGAUCUAAAACUGAAAAAAUUAGGAAAUAGCAACGUAAACUUGUUGCUUCACAGUAUGGACAUAAACAUCAGAAGAAGGAACUAAAAGAGUUAAAAUGUUUGCCAUAGGAGUGGGAAUGAGGGUGAGUGGGGCGGGUGACAAGACUACUUUGGUUUUGUGUUGUUGUAAAAUCCAUUCACUUUUAAAAUUGUAUUAAACUAUGUUCAUAUGUUGAUAAAAAUUAAAGUUAAAAUGUUUGUUGGAGGUCUCUGACUUUGACGUUUAGGAAACAAUGCUAUCAGCAUUUUUUAAAGUACUUGCUAAAUACUUGCUCACAUAUGGCAAGUUUUAGGCACCAGAACAAUGAUUUAUACUGCAUCCCUCCUGAGAAAAUGUGGUUUGACCACAAUGAGAUGUCACCUCACAUGUGUUAGGAGGGUUUUAUCAAGAUGAAAAAUAAUAAGUGUUGGCCAGGAUGUGGAGAAAAGGGAACCCUUGCACACUGUUGGUGGAAAUGUAAAUUAGUGCAACCAUUAUGGAAAACAGUCGGUGGCUCCUCAAAAAAUUAAAAAUAGAAUGACCAUGUGAUCCAGCAAUCUCACUUGUGGAUAUGGGAAAUGAUAUCAGUAUGUCUAAGUAUGCCCAAGAGAUACCUCUACUCCUGUGUUCACUGAAGCGCUAUUCACAAUGGCCAAGAUAAGGAAUCAAUCUAAGUGUCCAUCAAUGGAAUGAAUGGAUAAAGAAAAUGUGGUAUUCAGCCUUAAAAAAAUAAGGGAACCCCGUCAUUUUCCAACUAUAUGGGUAAACCUGGAGGACAUUAUGUUAACUGAAAUAAGCCAGGCACAAAAGACAAUACCUCAAGAUCUCACUCAUAUGUGGAAUCUUAAAAAGUCAAACUCAGAGGAGCACCAGGGACUGGAUGGGGGAGGGAUGCUGGGAAGAUGUUUGUUAAAGGAUACAAAAUUUUGGUGAGAUAGGUGGAAUGAGUUCAAGAGAUCUAUUGCACAACAUGGCGACCCCAUUUAAUAACAAUGUACUGCAUUCUUGAAAAUUGCUGAGAGUACAUUUUAAUUGUUCUCACUGCGAAAAGAGAGCUAAGUAUGUGAGGUAAUGCAUGUUAAUUACUCUGAUUUAGUUAUUCCACAAGGUAUACACACUUUAAAAUGUGUUGUACAUGAUAAAUAUAUA
rnacentral:lncRNA from 1 species